AUGAACGCUGGCGGCGUGCCUAAUACAUGCAAGUCGAGCGAACAGACGAGGAGCUUGCUCCUCUGACGUUAGCGGCGGACGGGUGAGUAACACGUGGAUAACCUACCUAUAAGACUGGGAUAACUUCGGGAAACCGGAGCUAAUACCGGAUAAUAUAUUGAACCGCAUGGUUCAAUAGUGAAAGACGGUUUUGCUGUCACUUAUAGAUGGAUCCGCGCCGCAUUAGCUAGUUGGUAAGGUAACGGCUUACCAAGGCAACGAUGCGUAGCCGACCUGAGAGGGUGAUCGGCCCCACGGGAACUGAGCAACGGCCCAAACCCCUAGGGGGGGAAGCAGUAGGAAACCUUCGGAAAUGGGGGAAAGCCGGACGGGGCAACGCCGGGGGAGGAAUGAAGGUCUCCGGUCCGUAAACCCUGUUUAUUAGGGAAAAACAAAGUGGAAAUAAACUAGGCCGGCUUUAACGGUCCUAAUCAGAAAGCCACGGCUAACUACGUG
rnacentral:rRNA from 1 species